rnacentral:rRNA from 1 species
CCUACGGGGGGCAGCAGUGAGGAAUAUUGGUCAAUGGGCUUACGCCUGAACCAGCCAAGUCGCGUGAGGGAAGACUGCCCUAUGGGUUGUAAACCUCUUUUGUCAGGGAGCAAAGGGCUCCACGUGUGGCGCUUUGCGAGUACCUGAAGAAAAAGCAUCGGCUAACUCCGUUCCAGCAGCCGCGGUAAUACGGAGGAUGCGAGCGUUAUCCGGAUUUAUUGGGUUUAAAGGGUGCGCAGGCGGAAUAUCAAGUCAGCGGUAAAAUGUCGGGGCUCAACCCCGUCGUGCCGUUGAAACUGGCGUUCUUGAGUGGGCGAGAAGUAUGCGGAAUGCGUGGUGUAGCGGUGAAAUGCAUAGAUAUCACGCAGAACUCCGAUUGCGAAGGCAGCAUACCGGCGCUCAACUGACGCUCAUGCACGAAAGCGUGGGUAUCGAACAGGAUUAGAUACCCCAGUAGUC